GUUUCAGGCAGCACGCUGGUGUUCUCAUGUCGGUGUUACUUUUGAAAUAGAAAUGGCUCUCAGAGCCUUUGGUUACUGUAAAUGAACUGCUGAAGGCUUGAUGUCUGUGCUGCUGUUCUAGGUCCGGCAAGAUCUGAAUGUGGCCAUUGCGGAAUUUACUGAACAGAAGCAGCAGAUGGAGCGAGACUCAUUAGUUCUGAGUGUGCUGAAAGAGCUACAAGAGAGCCACUAAGAGCAAAGCAAGGGACAGGCUUAAGGAGCAGAGCCAUCCCCAGGGUGACGUGCCAAGCAAAGAAGAGUCCAGGACAAAUGUAUCCCCACUCUGAAGCUCUGUCCCAGUUAAUAUGUAGUUACAGUGGAUUGGCAUGAACUGGAAAGACGGAGGGAGGCCUGUUGCCAAGGCCUGUAAGGAGGCAUCUCUAGCAGCCCAG